AUUAUUACUCACGGUACGAGUU
rnacentral:miRNA from 1 species